UACGGGGGGAGCAAGCGUUGUUCGGAUUUACUGGGCGUAAAGGGCGCGUAGGCGGUCGUGACAAGUCACUUGUGAAAUCUCCGGGCUUAACUCGGAACGGUCAAGUGAUACUGUCGGACUAGAGUACAGAAGGGGCAACUGGAAUUCUCGGCGUAGCGGUGAAAUGCGUAGAUAUCGAGAGGAACACCUGCGGCGAAGGCGGGUUGCUGGGCUGAUACUGACGCUGAGGCGCGAAAGCCAGGGGAGCGAACGGGG
rnacentral:rRNA from 1 species